rnacentral:lncRNA from 1 species
CUAGUGUCCUCGCGAAGGGUGCGAAGCAUCCUAACUCGCACUCGCUCGCUCGCGCGCGCGUGGCGUGGGCGAUGAGGCGCAAUGUGGCGCUUUGAUGGCGCACGCUCGCAUCGCCGCGAGCCGCUUGAGAGCCGCCUUUGUAUUUUUAACCGCGUGCGCGUGGUGGAGCACAAGGGUUGGAAGGACCAAGUGGUAGGUGAUGCGGCGCAUGACGUGGCAGUCAUGCGCAUGCGCGCGCGAGUAGACAUGGCAAGGAGGCGUGUGGUUGCGCGCAUGGUGCAUGGGUCCUGCUGUAUCGUGCGCGGCGCACCAGAGUGAGCCAAUACGGCGCGACUGUGUGGCGCGCUCGUAUAGGCUCACAGGUGACGUGGCGCACGCGCGCAUGGACUUGAGCCAAGAGGACGCACCGCGCAUGGUGACGUGGCGCAUGCGCGCAUGGCAGUGAGCCAAGAGGACGCACCGCGCAUGGGCAUGCAGACCUGGGCGCGCGCGCACCAGGGUGACUUGCGCGCACCAGGGUGACUUGCGCGCGCACGCGCGUGCAGAAGCUUCCAGCAUUGAAUGACAGUGCAGUUUCAGUCCAGCUUCGUAACUGACGAG